CCCAGACUCCUACGGGAGGCAGCAGUGGGGAAUAUUGCACAAUGGGGGGAACCCUGAUGCAGCGACGCCGCGUGGGUGAAGAAGUAUUUCGGUAUGUAAAGCCCUAUCGGCAGGGAAGAAAUUGGACGGUACCUGACUAAGAAGCCCCGGCUAACUACGUGCCGGCAGCCGCGGUAAUACGUAGGGGGCAAGCGUUAUCCGGAUUCACUGGGUGUAAAGGGAGCGUAGACGGCCAUGCAAGCCUGGAGUGAAAGCCCGGGGCCCAACCCCGGGACUGCUCUUGGAACUGCGCGGCUGGAGUGCAGGAGGGGCAGGCGGAAUUCCUGGUGUAGCGGUGAAAUGCGUAGAUAUCAGGAGGAACACCGGUGGCGAAGGCGGCCUGCUGGACUGCGACUGACGUUGAGGCCCGAAAGCGUGGGGAGCAAACAGGAUUAGAUACCCCAGUA
rnacentral:rRNA from 1 species